rnacentral:rRNA from 1 species
GGAAAGGUGAAAAGAACCCCGAACAGGGGAGUGAAAUAGAACCUGAAACCAUACGCUUACAACCGGUCGGAGCAGCUUCGUGCUGUGACGGCGUGCCUAUUGAAUAAUGAGCCUACGAGUUACUAAUCACUGGCGAGGUUAAGUGCACGGAUGCACGGAGCCGAAGCGAAAGCGAGUCUGAACAGGGCGGCUAGUCAGUGGUUGUAGACGCGAAACCUUGCGAUCUACCCUUGAGCAGGUUGAAGGUUGGGUAAAACCAACUGGAGGACCGAACGAAUAAGCGUUGAAAAGCUUCUCGAUGACUUGAGGGUAGGGGUGAAAGGCUAAUCAAGCUGGGAAAUAGCUCGUACUCCCCGAAAUGCCUUUAGGGGCAGCGUUGUAAUAAAGAGUCUACUGGAGGUAGAGCUACUGAUUGGAUGCGGGGGCUUCACCGCCUACCAAAUCCUGACAAACUCCGAAUGCCAGUAGUAUGAUUUACAGCAGUGAGCGACCGGGUGCUAAUGUCCGGUUACAAAAGAGGAACAACUCAGACCAGCAACUAAGGUCCCGAAGAAUAUGCUAAGUUGAUCUAACGAUGUUUUGUUGCAGAGACAGCUAGGAUGUUAGCUUGGAAGCAGCUAUUCAUUCAAAGAGUGCGUAACAGCUCACUAGUCGAGCGACAGAGCGUGGAUAAUAAACGGGCAUCAAGCAUAUCACCGAAGUUCUGGGCGCGAGAGCGCGGUAGGGGAGCAUUCCAUUCAGCGUCGAAGCAGUUUCGUGAGGAAUUGUGGAGCGUAUGGAAAAGCAAAUGUAGGCAUGAGUAACGAUAAUGCGGGAGAGUAACCCGCACACCGCAAGACCAAGGUUUCCUGAUCAACGCUAAUCGGAUCAGGGUUAGUCGGGUCCUAAGGGUAAGCCGAACGGCGAUCUCGAUGGAUAAUCGGUUAAUAUUCCGAUACUAACAUAUACCUCGAUGGAGAGACGAAGGAACGUAAGUGCCGCCACCUGACGGAAUAGGUGGUUAAAGGGCGUAGGUAUAGGGGCAGAUUAAGAGUUAGUCCUUGCUGAAACCUGACAGUACAGAGAGCCUACGGGCAAUUUGAUAGAGCACCCAAGUCGACUUCCGAGAAAAUCUUCUAAGUUAUAGUAUAUGUUACCCGUACCGUAAACCGACACAGGUGGUCGAGGAGAGUAUCCUAAGGUGCUCGAGUGAAUCACGGUUAAGGAACUAGGCAAAUUAACCCCGUAACUUCGGGAAAAGGGGUCCCUACGCGAGUAGGGCGCAGCGAAGAGGUCCAGGCGACUGUUUAUCAAAAACACAGGGCUCUGCAAAUUCGAAAGAAGACGUAUAGGGCCUGACACCUGCCCGGUGCUGGAAGGUUAAGAGGGGAUGUCAUCGCAAGAGAAGCAUUGAAUCGAAGCCCCAGUAAACGGCGGCCGUAACUAUAACGGUCCUAAGGUAGCGAAAUUCCUUGUCGGGUAAGUUCCGACCUGCACGAAUGGUGUAACGAUCUGGACACUGUCUCAACCGUGAGCUCGGUGAAAUUGUAGUCCCGGUGAUGAUGCCGGGUACCCGCAACGGGACGAAAAGACCCCGUGAACCUUUACUAUAGCUUAACGCUGAAUUUGGGUACACAAUGUGUAGGAUAGGCCGGAGACAUUGAAGCGGGUACGCCAGUAUUCGUGGAGUCAACGUUGAAAUACGGCCCUUUGUGUACUUGGAUUCUAACCCUUGAUAGGGGACACCGUUUGGUGGGUAGUUUGACUGGGGUGGUCGCCUCCAAAAGCGUAACGGAGGCUUCCCAAGGUACCCUCAGCACGAAUGGUAACCGUGCGCAGAGUGCAAUAGCAUAAGGGUGCUUGACUGUGAGACUUACAAGUCGACCAGGUGCGAAAGCAGGGUAUAGUGAUCCGGUGGUUCUGUGUGGACUGGCCAUCGCUCAAAGGAUAAAAGGUACUCCGGGGAUAACAGGCUGAUCGCCGCCAAGAGCUCAUAUCGACGCGGCGGUUUGGCACCUCGAUGUCGGCUCGUCACAUCCUGGGGCUGGAGAAGGUCCCAAG